rnacentral:rRNA from 1 species
AGCAGCCGCGGUAAUACGGAGGGGGCUAGCGUUGUCCGGAGUCACUGGGCGUAAAGCGCGCGUAGGCGGCCUGUUAAGUUGGAUGUGAAAGCCCGGGGCUCAACCUCGGAGGCGCAUCCGAGACUGGCGGGCUGGAGUCCGGGAGAGGGCGGCGGAAUUCCCAGUGUAGAGGUGAAAUUCGUAGAUAGUGGGAAGAACACCGGUGGCGAAGGCGGCCGCCUGGUCCGGCACUGACGCUGAGGCGCGAAAGCGUGGGGAGCAAA